GACGAACGCUGGCGGCGUGCUUAACACAUGCAAGUCGAACGGAAAGGCCCUGCUUUUGUGGGGUGCUCGAGUGGCGAACGGGUGAGUAACACGUGAGUAACCUGCCCUUGACUUUGGGAUAACUUCAGGAAACUGGGGCUAAUACCGGAUAGGAGCUCCUGCUGCAUGGUGGGGGUUGGAAAGUUUCGGCGGUUGGGGAUGGACUCGCGGCUUAUCAGCUUGUUGGUGGGGUAGUGGCUUACCAAGGCUUGACGGGUAGCCGGCCUGAGAGGGUGACCGGCCACAUUGGGACUGAGAUACGGCCCAGACUCCUACGGGAGGCAGCAGUGGGGAAUAUUGCACAAUGGGCGGAAGCCUGAUGCAGCAACGCCGCGUGCGGGAUGACGGCCUUCGGGCUGUAAACCGCUUUCGCCUGUGACGAAGCGUGAGUGACGGUAAUGGGUAAAGAAGCACCGGCUAACUACGUG
rnacentral:rRNA from 1 species